rnacentral:lncRNA from 1 species
AAUACAGAAAGGAAGAGCACACGCUGUAUCCUAAAUCAUUUGCUUCAUAAUUAGAUCGACGGGGAUGAAAUCUACUGAUAUGGGGAUGAAAGGGGAGAGAGUAAAUCCUGUUUUUUAAAUAUUAAUAUUAACAUGCUUAUCAUCACUCAAAUGGACACAUCAGGUACAUGAGAAUGUAUCACUCAGAAAAAAAUUUAAAAAACCAUUAUCUAUGCUAAUUAUUUCAGAAGAGGAAUGUAAUGUAUAAGCAGCUAGACUCUUGAAUUUUAUACCUUUUUAAAGAAUAAAAGUUGUGAAAAAUUUGCAUUGAUUUUCACUGAAGACAAAUACAACGCAGAAUUAUCAACAGCACCCUAUGGGAUACUAAUACAAAUGUCUCUUUACUAGACUGAGCAGAAGGAGGAAGAGGCAGGGUUGAUAGUGCUGUCUCCAGUGGCAGAGGUGAAAGAAAAUCUCAUCAUUUCCGUCUACAGUCUGCAGUAUAAUGUCAAACGAGAGAGGAUCAUUUUGAGGCAUCAUUUUCUCUUUUCUGAUAUUAAUGAGAAGGUUUCAGUAAUUCAGCAUUAAGCCAUGUGUUUGCUGUAAAUUCUUUGUAGAUACUUUUUAUCAUGUUAAGUUUGAUCUUUUAUAAUUCUAAUUGGCUAAGGGCUUAAAAUGAUUAUGUUAAACUUUAUCAAAUGCUUUCUCUGUCUCUUCAUGUGGUCAUAUGAUAUU